UACGUAGGGUGCGAGCGUUGUCCGGAAUUACUGGGCGUAAAGAGCUCGUAGGUGGUUUGUCGCGUUGUUCGUGAAAACUCACAGCUUAACUGUGGGCGUGCGGGCGAUACGGGCAGUCUGGAGUACUGCAGGGGAGACUGGAAUUCCUGGUGUAGCGGUGGAAUGCGCAGAUAUCAGGAGGAACACCGGUGGCGAAGGCGGGUCUCUGGGCAGUAACUGACGCUGAGGAGCGAAAG
rnacentral:rRNA from 1 species